UUGUUAAGUGAUGAUGUGGCAAACAGAGUGUCAUAUCAUCAUGCCUUGUCACAGACACCCCAUUGCCAUGUCAUUACCUUCAAUGACAUGGUAAUGAUGUGUCAGUGAUUGGGCGUGAUGAUGUGACACUCCAUUUGUCAUGUCAUCACUUAACAUAA
rfam:Glycine soja cultivar W05 scaffold610_23, whole genome shotgun sequence.